rnacentral:rRNA from 1 species
UACGAAGGGGCUAGCGUUGCUCGGAAUCACUGGGCGUAAAGCGCACGUAGGCGGAUUGCUAAGUCAGGGGUGAAAUCCUGGAGCUCAACUCCAGAACUGCCUUUGAUACUGGCGAUCUUGAGUCCGGGAGAGGUGAGUGGAACUGCGAGUGUAGAGGUGAAAUUCGUAGAUAUUCGCAAGAACACCAGUGGCGAAGGCGGCUCACUGGCCCGGUACUGACGCUGAGGUGCGAAAGCGUGGGGAGCAACAGG